ensembl:lncRNA
CAAACAUCAUAGCCUAGACACACAGUCUACUGUGCUACUCUUACUGUGUGGUGGAUUUGACAGAUGGAGUCUAAGCUCUUGUUACGACAAAGAAUUGUAAAGCAUACGCUCCAUGGUGAGGGAAAAGCCACUACAUUUAUUGAGGGUCAGGAACAGAGAAAUGGUGCUGGGAAUGAGGAGACAGGAGAUUAGGGCAUAGCAAAAGCUGGCUGGGGAAGUGGACAUGACCUGUUAACUACAAGAUUCCCAGAAACAUGCGCAGAACAGUUCCCAAAACCCAGCAUGUGGACUUCUUUUGAGAACUGGAGGCCUGGACCUGACUCAGCCUGAGGCAUGGGAUCCCAGCACCACUUCUCAGGACCCAGAUGUAUAAGUUCUCCUGGAUUUCUUCCAGAUUUAGACAGCAUGAAAGGAGAGGCAAGUCAUGAAGGCUUUGCUGUCAUAGCUUUCCAUGGUAGCCCAUGCUGUGUUUCUGAUGCAGUGUGUACUUUGUCUUUGUUCUCGCUCUCUUUUUCUGUUUACCUGGUCCAAGCUUGCUCUGUAGAACAAGUUUCCCUCCCAUUCUUCAUUUUUGCUUUCUUGAAUAAACUUUGCCACUGCUUUUUGUUCAUUUUGUUCAAUUCUCUGUUGGAGGCAAGAAGAAGCUGGAAUCUGACUCCAGAAGGAGAGGCAAGCAAUCCAGAACCCGGUAACAUUCAGUUGGAACGGGGUCACUGCCUUGGACCUUGUAGUUUGCCUCUGCAUACAGCACGAGCCAUGUCAAAGAUGAUGGCUCCCAGUCUGAGGCUGAGCAAGAGGUCAGAAAUCGCAGCAGUUAGAGCAAAGGAGCCCCAGCCUGGUGCUCAGCUACCUGAGCCAGCCAGCUGACUAUGGACUGAAACACAGCCACAAUAAACCUCUCCUUCCUUAGCUUGUGGGUGUUGGGUAUCUUGUGCCAUCACAGAGUAAAGUGGCCAAGACAUCAACACUGUCCAUCGUUUUCACAUCCAUUUUUCUCUCAUGAAACUACUUCGGGUGGAAAAUCAAAUUUCAUCAGCUACUCCAGUGAUUUUUCAGCAAAGGAAGAAUCUGAAAUGUUUUGGCUAUCUGGAGAAUCUGUAGCUAGAAUACAGGUGAGCACCCUACAAAAGAAGGACGAUCCAUUGAAGAGAAUCUUAUAACCAGGUGAGCAAUUUGUGAAGUGCUGAAGAGAAGGCCCACAUAGCUCAGGGACAGAAAUCCGCAAAGAACCACUUGUCGCCAACUCUUCAAUAAGAGUCCUAUGCCCUUGUCCACCCCUGGCUUCCUCCUUUGUAGAAAUGAGCAUAGCCAUUUUUGCGAGUUAUUUAUUAUCAUAAGGUCUGUUUAACAUGUAUAGUGCAGUGAUUAAGGAUGCUGGCUUUGGUGCCAGAAAGAAUUGGACUUCAAUCUUGAUGGUGCUACUUAUUAACUGUCACUUUGAUCAAAGAAACUCUUUAUGUCUUUUCUUAUCCAAAAAUUGGGGAUAAUUAUUGCACCUACCUAAUAGGGUCUUUAUGAAGAUUAAACAAGAUUACCUGGAACAUCACAACUGCUUAAUAAUAUUAGCUAUUAUUUGGAAGUACUAUCAUCUUCUUGUAGGAAAAAAAGUAAUUAUAAAAAAUCCAAAUUAUUCACACUGG